UUAAAGGUAGACUAAUAAAAGUUAUUAGACUCAUAAUCUAAGGAUAAUUUUACAAUUUCUUUAAA
rnacentral:tRNA from 1 species